CCUACGGGAGGCAGCAGUGAGGAAUAUUGGUCAAUGGCCGUAAGGCUGAACCAGCCAAGUAGCGUGAGGGAAGACUGCGCUAUGCGUUGUAAACCUCUUUUGUGCGGGGAUAAAGGUGUCCACGUGAGCCUGUUUGCAGGUACCGCAUGAAUAAGGAUCGGCUAAUUCCGUGCCAGCAGCCGCGGUAAUACGGAAGGUCCGGGCGUUAUCCGGAUUUAUUGGGUUUAAAGGGUGCGUAGGCCGGUCUUUAAGCGUGCCGUAAAAGGUUGUGGCUCAACCAUGGGGGUGCGGUGGGAACUGGCGACCUUGAGAGGGCGGAAGGCAGGCGGAAUGCGUGGUGUAGCGGUGAAAUGCUUAGAUAUCGCGAAGAACCCCGAUUGCGAAGGCAGCAUGCCGCAGCGUUACUGACGCUGAAGCACGAAAGCGCGGGUAUCGAACAGGAUUAGAUACCCUGGUAGUC
rnacentral:rRNA from 1 species